rnacentral:rRNA from 1 species
UAAUACAUGCAAGUCGAACGAGAAAGUUCCCUUCGGGGAGCUAGUAGAGUGGCGAACGGGUGAGUAAUGCAUGAACGACCUACCUACAUGACGAGGAUAACUGCUCGAAAGAACAGCUAAUACUCGAUGUGAUCUCUGGUCUACGGACCUUUGAUUAAAGAUGGCCUCUGUUUCAAGCUGUCGCAUGUUGAGGGGUUCAUGUGCUAUUAGAUUGUUGGUGGGGUAACGGCCUACCAAGACUAUGAUGGCUAGCCGGCCUGAGAGGGUGUCCGGCCACACUGGGACUGAGACACUGCCCAGACUCCUACGGGAGGCUGCAGUCGAGAAUCAUACACUAAUGCGCGAAAGCGUGAUGUUGCGACGCCGCGUGGGGGAUGAAGGCCUUAGGGUCGUAAACUCCUGUCAUUUGGAGCUAAAACCGUAGAGUUAAUAACUCUUGCGCUUGAAGUGCCAUAAGAGGAAGCACCGGCUAAAUUCGUGCCAGCAGCCGCGGUAAUACGAAUGGUGCAAGCGUUGUUCGGAAUUACUGGGCAUAAAGGGCGCGUAGGUGGAGACACCAGUCAAUUGUGAAAUCCCCCGGCUCAACCGAGGAACUGCAGCUGAUACUGUGUAUCUAGAGUACUGGAGGGGAGAGCGGAAUUCCUGGUGGAGCGGUGAAAUGCGUAGAUAUCAGGAGGAACGCCGGAGGCGAAAGCGGCUCUCUGGCCAGUUACUGACGCUGAGGCGCGAAAGCUAGGGUAGCAAACCGGAUUAGAUACCCGGGUAGUCCUAGCCGUAAACGAUGGCCACUAAGUAGUGGGACUCCAAAGGUCUCGCUGCCGGAGCAAAUGUAUUAAGUGGCCCGCCUGGGGAGUAUGGUCGCAAGGCUGAAACUCAAAGGAAUUGACGGGGGCUCACACAAGCGGUGGAGCAUGUUGUUUAAUUCGAUGCAACGCGAAGAACCUUACCUGGGCUUGACAUGCAUGUGGUAUCAAUCCGAAAGGUGCGGGACCAUCUCUGAUGGAGCUUACACAGGUAUUGCAUGGCUGUCGUCAGCUCGUGUCGUGAGAUGUUGGGUUAAGUCCCGUAACGAGCGCAACCCUUGUCCUUAGUUGCCAGCGUUAAAGCCGGGGACUUUAAGGAGACUGCCGGUGUUAAGCCGGAGGAAGGCGGGGAUGACGUCAAGUCAUCAUGGUCCUUACGCCCAGGGCCACAAACGUGCUACAAUGGCCGGUACAAUGGGAAGCGAAACCGCGAGGUGGAGCAAAUCUCAAAAACCCGGCCCCAGUUCGGAUUGCAGGCUGAAACUCGCCUGCAUGAAGUUGGAAUCGCUAGUAAUCGCGGAUCAGCCAUGCCGCGGUGAAUAUGUUCCUGAGCCUUGUACACACCGCCCGUCAAGCCACCCAAAUAGGUCGCACCCGAAGUCGUAGACUUAACCGCAAGGGAAGAUACGCCGAAGGUGAGGUUUGUGAGGGGGACUAAGUCGUAACAAGGUAGCC